rnacentral:rRNA from 1 species
UAGCAUAUCAAUAAGCGGAGGAAAAGAAACUAACAAGGAUUCCCCUAGUAACUGCGAGUGAAGCGGGAAGAGCUCAAAUUUUGAAUCUGGCGGUUCUGCCGUCCGAGUUGUAAUCUAGAGAAGCGUUUUCCGCGCUGGACCGUGUACAAGUCUCCUGGAAGGGAGCGUCGUAGAGGGUGAGAAUCCCGUCUUUGACACGGACCGCCAGUGCUAUGUGAUGCGCUCUCGACGAGUCGAGUUGUUUGGGAAUGCAGCUCAAAUUGGGUGGUAAACUCCAUCUAAAGCUAAAUACAGGCGAGAGACCGAUAGCGAACAAGUACCGUGAGGGAAAGAUGAAAAGAACUUUGGAAAGAGAGUUAAACAGUACGUGAAAUUGCUGAAAGGGAAACGCUUGAUGUCAGUCGCGUCGGCCGGGGAUCAACCUUGCUUAUCGCUGGGUGUACUUCCUGGUCGACGGGUCAGCAUCAGUUUCGGUCGCCGUACAAUGGCGGAGGGAACGUGGCACUCUUCGGGGUGUGUUAUAGCCUUUCGUCGUAUGCGGUGGUCGGGACUGAGGAACUCAGCAC